rnacentral:rRNA from 1 species
CCUACGGGAGGCAGCAGUGAGGAAUAUUGGUCAAUGGGCGCGAGCCUGAACCAGCCAAGUAGCGUGAAUGAUGACUGCCCUACGGGUUGUAAACUUCAUUUAUAAAGGAAUAAAGUGAGGCACGUGUGCCUUUUUGUAUGUACUUUAUGAAUAAGGCUCGGCUAACUCCGUGCCAGCAGCCGGGGUAAUACGGAGGGUCCGAGCGUUAUCCGGAUUUAUUGGGUUUAAUGGGGGGGUAGAUGGGUGGUGAAGUCCGGUGUGAAAGGUGGGGGCUCAACCGUAGAAUUGCAAUGGAGACUGGGGGACUGGAGUACAGUAGGGGCAGGCGGAAGUCGUGGGGUAGCGGUGAAAUGCGUAGAUGUCAGGAGGAACGGCGGUGGCGAAGGCGGCCUGCUGGACUG